AGCUCCAAUAGCAUAUUUUAAAGUUGUUGUAGUUUAAAAGCUCGUAGUUUGAUGUCUGGUGGGAGCAAUCAGUAUGGCACUUUGUGUCAUAGCUUGCAUUGUCUCUGACCAUCCUUUGAAAGAAUCAGUCUGGUAUUAAGUUGUCGGACUGAAGAUUUCCAUCUCUUACUGUGAAAAAAUUAGAGUGUUCAAAGCAGACUUAAGCCGUUGAAUAUAUUAGAAUGGAAUAAUUAUAUAGGACGUUAGUGCUAUUUUUGUUGGUUUACGUGCCAUAGUAAUGAUUGACAGGGAAAAUUGGGGGUAUUUGUAUUCCAAUGUCAGAGGUGAAAUUAUUGGAUUUUUGGAAGACAAACUACUGUGAAAGUAUUUACCAAGGAUGUUUUCA
rnacentral:rRNA from 1 species